UCCAGUAAAGAGGCUGGAAUAAUAUAAGACAAGAAGACCCCAUGGAGAAUUAGUCAACUAGUUUAAUUAUUAAUAAAUCAACCUAAUGGUUCACAAUCAAAUUUUGAAAGAUUUGGAAUGGGGUAACCUCUGAGAGCCAAAUCCUUUGAAAGAUUUUAACAUAGACCUACAACUCAAAUGAACUUAUUAUUGACCCAAAAGUGUUUUUGAUCAACAGACCAAGUUACCCUAGGGACAACAGCACAAUCCUAUUCAAGAGUUCAUAUCAACAAUUAGGGUUUACAACCUCAAUGUUGGACUUGUCAAUGGUGCAGAAGCUAUUAAUGACUCAUUUGUUCAACGAUUGAAGUCCUACAUGAUCUGAGUUCAGACUGGAGGUUUCAGGUCGGUUUCUAUUUACAAUU
rnacentral:ncRNA from 1 species